GCAUUUUCGAGCAACGUGAGCAACACCAACGUCAAGUGGAAUCAGAGGAAUAGCGUGGGAUCGAGACGACAUUCGUCAAGCGCUUCAAUCCCCGACACGUGAAGAAGGAAGAGACAAGCUCAGCCCCCAGCCAAAAAUGGAAUCAAUACUAGCCGCCAUUGCUACACAGUGGACAUUAUACUAUGAACGGUGGACCAUGUACCUCUAUACGACCCUCGCCACAAAUCCCUGGUAGGGACUCCGUUUCCUCCAGUCCAACAAGAAACGGAACACAUGAACCGUGCCAUUGGCAUUGGUCAAUCACACACUCUUUUGGCUGCUUGAACUUCUCAGGGAGUCUGUGUCAGAGGCCUGACCUGGCAGCCUUUCCCUGUUCAACCCUUCCAGACCAUGUGUUGUUAGCGAGGAUCCCGGAAUGUUUGCCGUGUCAACAGGGUGGCCAAUGGUAACACGGGCGAAAUAGGUACCUCCUCGCGAUGUACCGUUGCACACAUAUUGCUGGCAGUGGAUAGGUUACUGAGAUACCACCACAUCUGGCCAUCGUCGAUAUACAUGCCUCAAAACGGUUGUUUGCUCCUGUAACGCUAGGUAUUCGACCAAACUCAGGUAAAGUUCCAAGGGG